GGAAUCUUAGACAAUGGGCGCAAGCCUGAUCUAGCCAUGCCGCGUGUGUGAUGAAGGUCUUAGGAUCGUAAAGCACUUUCGCCAGGGAUGAUAAUGACAGUACCUGGUAAAGAAACCCCGGCUAACUCCGUGCCAGCAGCCGCGGUAAUACGGAGGGGGUUAGCGUUGUUCGGAAUUACUGGGCGUAAAGCGUAAGUAGGCGGAUUGGAAAGUUGGGGGUGAAAUCCCAGGGCUCAACCCUGGAACUGCCUCCAAAACUAUCAGUCUAGAGUUCGAGAGAGGUGAGUGGAAUUCCAAGUGUAGAGGUGAAAUUCGUAGAUAUUUGGAGGAACACCAGUGGCGAAGGCGGCUCACUGGCUCGAUACUGACGCUGAGGUACGAAAGUGUGGGGAGCA
rnacentral:rRNA from 1 species